rnacentral:rRNA from 1 species
UCCAGACUCCUACGGGAGGCAGCAGUGGGGGAUAUUGCACAAUGGGGGGAACCCUGAUGCAGCGACGCCGCGUGGGUGAAGGAGUGCUUCGGCAUGUAAAGCCCUAUCGGCAGGGAAGAAGCAAGACGGUACCUGACUAAGAAGCCCCGGCUAACUACGUGCCAGCAGCCGCGGUAAUACGUAGGGGGCAAGCGUUAUCCGGAUUUACUGGGUGUAAAGGGGGCGCAGACGGCGAUGCAAGCCAGGAGUGAAAGUCCGGGGCCCAACCCCGGGACUGCUCUUGGAACUGCGUGGCUGGAGUGCAGGAGGGGCAGGCGGAAUUCCUGGUGUAGCGGUGAAAUGCGUAGAUAUCAGGAGGAACACCGGUGGCGAAGGCGGCCUGCUGGACUGCAACUGACGUUGAGGCCCGAAAGCGUGGGGAGCGAACAGGAUUAGAUACCCGGGUA